UUCGGGUUGUAAAGUACUUUCAGCAGUGAGGAAGGUGGGUAUGUUAAUAGCAUAUUCAUUUUGACGUUAGCUGCAGAAGAAGCACCGGCUAACUCCGUGCCAGCUAGCCGCGGUAAUACGGAGGGUGCGAGCGUUAAUCGGAAUUACUGGGCGUAAAGCGCAUGCAGGUGGUUUGUUAAGUCAGAUGUGAAAGCCCCGGGGCUCAACCUCGGAAUUGCAUUUGAAACUGGCAAACUAGAGUACUGUAGAGGGGGUAGAAUUUCAGGUGUAGCGGUGAAAUGCGUAGAGAUCUGAAGGAAUACCGGUGGCGAAGGCGGCCCCCUGGACAGAUACUGACACUCAGAUGCGAAAGCGUGGGGAGCAAACAGGAUUAGAUACCCUGGUAG
rnacentral:rRNA from 1 species